rnacentral:lncRNA from 1 species
GGAAGAGUCCAACACUGGAGAAGUAUGAUGGAAGCAUUGAUCUUGAUGAGCAUGUUGUUAUAUAUAGUACUUAAGUCAGCUUAUACACCUCUAAUGAUGCCAUUUUAUGUAGAGUAUUUUCGACAACGCUGAAAGGAGCUACAUUGAGUUGGUUCACAAGAUUACCACCUUAUUCGAUUGACUCUUUUGACACCUUGGUGAUGAAAUUUGGAGCUUAGUUUGCAACCAGUAGGCCACAUCAUUUGAUGUUUAUUGCAUUGGUGAAUAUUCG